AUCCAGCUGACGAGUCCCGAACAGGACGAAACGCGCAUCCUGAAU
rnacentral:hammerhead_ribozyme from 1 species